ACCCGUGGACAGGCGAUCGCCGUUCCGUUCGCGGGGCGGAGGAAAGUCCGAACACGACAGGACACGGUGGUGGGUAACGCCCACCGGCCCCGGUCGCGGGGUCAGGGAAAGUGCCACAGAAAAUACACCGCCUCCGGCGCCUCCGGGUUCCGGCGGUAAGGGUGAAAUGGUGCGGUAAGAGCGCACCGCCCGGCUGGUGACAGCCGGGGCACGGCAAACCCCACCGCGUGCAAGCGCAAGCAGUCCUCGG
rnacentral:RNase_P_RNA from 1 species